rnacentral:rRNA from 1 species
UACGAAGGGGGCUAGCGUUGCUCGGAAUCACUGGGCGUAAAGAGCUCGUAGGCGGUUGAGUAAGUCGGGUGUGAAAACUCUGGGCUUAACCCAGAGCCGCCACUCGAUACUGCUCUGACUUGAGUACGGUAGGGGAGCAGGGAAUUCCUAGUGUAGCGGUGAAAUGCGCAGAUAUUAGGAGGGACACCGGUGGCGAAGGCGCUGCUCUGGGCCGAAACUGACGCUGAGGAGCGAAAGCGUGGGUAGCAAACAGG